UGGGGAAUUUUGGACAAUGGGCGAAAGCCUGAUCCAGCAAUGCCGCGUGUGUGAAGAAGGCCUUCGGGUUGUAAAGCACUUUUGUCCGGAAAGAAAUCCUUGGCUCUAAUACAGUCGGGGGAUGACGGUACCGGAAGAAUAAGCACCGGCUAACUACGUGCCAGCAGCCGCGGUAAUACGUAGGGUGCAAGCGUUAAUCGGAAUUACUGGGCGUAAAGCGUGCGCAGGCGGUUUGCUAAGACCGAUGUGAAAUCCCCGGGCUCAACCUGGGAACUGCAUUGGUGACUGGCAGGCUAGAGUAUGGCAGAGGGGGGUAGAAUUCCACGUGUAGCAGUGAAAUGCGUAGAGAUGUGGAGGAAUACCGAUGGCGAAGGCAGCCCCCUGGGCCAAUACUGACGCUCAUGCACGAAAGCGUGGGGAGCAAACAGGAUUAGAUACCCUGGUAGUCCACGCCCUAAACGAUGUCAACUAGUUGUUGGGGAUUCAUUUCCUUAGUAACGUAGCUAACGCGUGAAGUUGACCGCCUGGGGGGUACGGUCGCAAGAUUAAAACUCAAAUGAAUUGACGGGGUCAUA
rnacentral:rRNA from 1 species